rnacentral:rRNA from 1 species
GGAAUAUUGGACAAUGGGCGAAAGCCUGAUCCAGCCAUGCCGCGUGUGUGAAGAAGGCCUUAGGGUUGUAAAGCACUUUCGUCUGUGAAGAUAAUGACAGUAGCAGAAGAAGAAGCUCCGGCUAAAUUCGUGCCAGCAGCCGCGGUAAUACGAAUGGAGCGAGCGUUGUUCGGAAUCACUGGGCGUAAAGCGUGCGCAGGCGGUUGUGAAAGUUAGAAGUGAAAUCCCAGAGCUCAACUUUGGAAUUGCUUUUAAAACUCCACAACUAGAGUACUGGAGAGGUUAGCGGAGUUCCGAGUGUAGAGGUGAAAUUCGCAGAUAUUCGGAGGAACACCAAUGGCGUAGGCAGCUAACUGGACAGUAACUGACGCUCAGGCACGAAAGCGUGGGGAUCAAA